rnacentral:rRNA from 1 species
AUUGAACGCUGGCGGCAUGCUUUACACAUGCAAGUCGAACGGUAACAGGCCGCAAGGUGCUGACGAGUGGCGAACGGGUGAGUAAUGCAUCGGAACGUGCCCAGUCGUGGGGGAUAACUACUCGAAAGAGUAGCUAAUACCGCAUACGAUCUAUGGAUGAAAGCGGGGGACCGUAAGGCCUCGCGCGAUUGGAGCGGCCGAUGUCAGAGUAGGUAGUUGGUGGGGUAAAGGCUCACCAAGCCAACGAUCUGUAGCCGGUCAGAGAGGACGACCAGCCACACUGGGACUGAGACACGGCCCAGACUCCUACGGGAGGCAGCAGUGGGGAAUUUUGGACAAAGGGCGCAAGCCUGAUCCAGCAAUGCCGCGUGCAGGAAGAAGGCCUUCGGGUUGUAAACUGCUUUUGUACGGAACGAAACGGCUCUGGUUAAUACCCGGGGAUAAUGACGGUACCGUAAGAAUAAGCACCGGCUAACUACGUG